rnacentral:rRNA from 1 species
UACACGACCGUACCGCAAACCGACACUGGUGCGCGAGAUGAGUAUUCUAAGGCGCUUGAGAGAACUCAGGAGAAGGAACUCGGCAAAUUGACACCGUAACUUCGGAAGAAGGUGUGCCUUUAGUAGGUGAACCUGUACAAGGGGAGCCCAAUGAGGUUGCAAAAAAUCGGUGGCUGCGACUGUUUAAUAAAAACACAGCACUCUGCAAACACGAAAGUGGACGUAUAGGGUGUGACGCCUGCCCGGUGCUGGAAGAUUAAAUGAUGGGGUGCAAGCUCUUGAUUGAAGUCCCAGUAAACGGCGGCCGUAACAAUAACGGUCCUAAGGUAGCGAAAUUCCUUGUCGGGUAAGUUCCGACCUGCACGAAUGGCGUAACGAUGGCCACACUGUCUCCUCCUGAGACUCAGCGAAGUUGAAAUGUUUGUGAUGAUGCAAUCUCCCCGCGGAAAGACGGAAAGACCCCAUGAACCUUUACUGUAGCUUUGUAUUGGACUUUGAACAGAUCUGUGUAGGAUAGGUGGGAGGCUUUGAAGUGUGGUCGCUAGAUCGCAUGGAGCCAACGUUGAAAUACCACCCUGGUGUGUUUGAGGUUCUAACCUAGGCCCGUAAUCCGGGUCGGGGACAGUGCAUGGUAGGCAGUUUGACUGGGGCGGUCUCCUCCCAAAGCGUAACGGAGGAGUUCGAAGGUACGCUAGGUACGGUCGGACAUCGUGCUAAUAGUGCAAUGGCAUAAGCGUGCUUAACUGCGAGACUGACAAGUCGAGCAGAUGCGAAAGCAGGACAUAGUGAUCCGGUGGUUCUGUAUGGAAGGGCCAUCGCUCAACGGAUAAAAGGUACUCUGGGGAUAACAGGCUGAUACCGCCCAAGAGUUCAUAUCGACGGCGGUGUUUGGCACCUCGAUGUCGGCUCAUCUCAUCCUGGGGCUGUAGCCGGUCCCAAGGGUAUGGCUGUUCGCCAUUUAAAGAGGUACGUGAGCUGGGUUUAAAACGUCGUGAGACAGUUUGGUCCCUAUCUUCCGUGGGCGCUGCAGAUUUGAGGAAGCCUGCUCCUAGUACGAGAGGACCGGAGUGGACACACCUCUGGUGUAUCGGUUGUCACGCCAGUGGCAUUGCCGAGUAGCUAUGUGUGGAAGAGAUAACCGCUGAAAGCAUCUAAGCGGGAAACUCGUUUCAAGAUGAGAUCUGCCGGGGCCUUGAGCCCCCUAAAGAGUCGUUCAAGACCAGGACGUUGAUAGGUCGGGUGUGGAAGCGCAGUAAUGCGUUAAGCUAACCGAUACUAAUUGCUCGUGCGGCUUGACCAA